UACGUAGGGCGCAAGCGUUGUCCGGAAUUAUUGGGCGUAAAGAGCUCGUAGGCGGCCUGUCGCGUCUGCUGUGAAAUCCCGGGGCUCAACCCCGGGCUUGCAGUGGAUACGGGCAGGCUGGAGGCAGGCAGGGGAGAACGGAAUUCCCGGUGUAGCGGUGAAAUGCGCAGAUAUCGGGAGGAACACCGGUGGCGAAGGCGGUUCUCUGGGCCUGUACUGACGCUGAGGAGCGAAAGCGUGGGGAGCGAACAGG
rnacentral:rRNA from 1 species